rnacentral:rRNA from 1 species
UGAGUCGUUUUUUGCGUUCUGUUCAGCCUGCGAGUCGAGAGGGUUCGGCCCUCGGCUGACGGCUCAGCAACACGUGGAUAAUCUGCCCUUAGGUGGAGGAUACCCUCGGGAAACUGAGAAUAAUACUCCAUAGGUCUAGGAUGCUGGAAUGCACUUAGACUGAAAAUUCCGGUGCCUAAGGAUGAGUCUGCGGACUAUCAGGUUGUAGUCAGGGUAAAGACCUGACUAGCCUAUGACGGAUACGGGUUGUGAGAGCAAUAACCCGGAGAUGAUAUCUGAGACACGAUAUCAGGCCCUACGGGGCGCAGCAGGCGCGAAAACUUCACAAUGUGCGAAAGCACGAUGAGGGAAUCCCAAGUGCUUGCACGUAAGUGCAAGCUGUUUCUAUGUCUAAAACACAUAGAGAGUAAGGGCUGGGUAAGACGGGUGCCAGCCGCCGCGGUAAUACCUGCAGCUCAAGUGGUGGCCGCUAUUAUUGGGCCUAAAACGUCCGUAGCCGGUUUAAUAAAUGCCUGGGUAAAUUGUAUAGCUUAACUAUACGAAUUCCGGGUAGACUGAUAAACUUGAGACCGGGGGAAGUUAGAGGUACUCCUGGGGUAGAGGUGAAAUUCUGUAAUCCUAGGGGGACCACCGGUGGCGAAGGCGUCUGACUAAAACGGGUCUGACGGUGAGGGACGAAGCCCUGGGGCGCAAACGGGAUUAGAUACCCCGGUAGUCCAGGGUGUAAACGCUGCUUGCUUGAUGUUAGUCGGGCUUCGAGCCCGAUUAGUGUCGGAGAGAAGUUGUUAAGCAAGCUGCCUGGGAAGUACGGCCCGCAAGACUGAAACUUAAAG